CCAUCUUGUUGUUAUUGUAGUUACUAAGGCAAAUUUUAUCAGCAUCACUGCUCAACGUUUGUAGCCAGGUUAGACAACCCACAACUCUCACCUGGCUGUAUAAACCCAGAGGGGACAGCCCUGGAUGCUUAAGACUGAGAGUUUGUGCCCAGCUUCCCUGAGUCACAUUUAAACAGAAACAAUGAUCUUUAAACCAUUCUACCAUUCCAGUUUCUAUUAUUAAACCACCCUCAUUUCCUUUAUCUCUGCAGAUUCUGCAGCUGCUGGACAUCCAGCUAUCUUUUCUUCAACUUCUGGGGAACGUCCAAGCAUUUUUCAUCUAACAGUUCCUGCUUCAAUUUCAGCCACAGAUUUGGCCAUUACACCUGGCAUAACUUCUACUUCAGAAGA
rnacentral:lncRNA from 1 species